rnacentral:rRNA from 1 species
CCUACGGGGGGCAGCAGUGAGGAAUAUUGGUCAAUGGUCGGGAGACUGAACCAGCCAAGCCGCGUGAGGGAUGAAGGUACAGAGUAUCGUAAACCUCUUUUGUCAGGGAACAAAGGCGGGGACGCGUCCCCGGAUGAGCGUACCUGAAGAAAAAGCAUCGGCUAACUCCGUGCCAGCAGCCGCGGUAAUACGGAGGAUGCGAGCGUUAUCCGGAUUUAUUGGGUUUAAAGGGUGCGCAGGCGGUCUGUUAAGUCAGUGGUAAAAGCCCGGGGCUCAACCCCGGCCCGCCGUUGAAACUGGCAGUCUCGAGUUGGAGAGAAGUAUGCGGAAUGCGCGGUGUAGCGGUGAAAUGCAUAGAUAUCGCGCAGAACUCCGAUUGCGAAGGCAGCAUGCCGGCUCCACACUGACGCUGAGGCACGAAAGCGUGGGUAUCGAACAGGAUUAGAUACCCUAGUAGUC